UUGGCAUUGCGGGAGGCAGCGGGCGGCGUGCCUCGGCCUCGAGCGUGAGGCGCGGAGGCGGCCGCGGGCGGCGGCGAGGGGAGCGGCGGGUGAGGGGGGCGCUUCCUUGUCGCCGGCUGCAGCACGCUCACCGGCCCGGCCGCCCCCCGGCGAGCCCGUCCUUCUGGCUCAGGGUGAGCUGCUGCACCCCUCGCCUUGGCCACCCUGUCCGGCACCAGCACCCCCGCGGCCUGCGCCCGGCCGCCCCGGCCCUCCGCCUGCCCUGCUGCCCGGGGCGGCCCCAGGAGCCUGAAUCUGGUGGUGUGCACGCGAGAGGGAACGGUGGUUUCAAGCAGAGGCCGUGAGAGGUCUGAGCCCCACCGGUGAGGCCGGGUCAAUUGAGAAUAUCCACAACAUCACCAAGAGCCUUCUCCUUCCAAUCUGCUGAAGAUGCCAAUGAGCCACCUCCCUCAGUCUUCUGUCUUCGGGAUGUUACGUGAUCCCAGUCGUGGGGAGGUUCUCAGGAAAAGGCCAGGUGUGCUCAACACAUGUGAUGGUACUGGGAACAACUUGCUUGCCUUACCGCUGCACCCUGUUCCAGAAAUCUGCUGUUAGCCCAGGGGCUCUGGGAAAACUGUGUAUUGAAAACCAGUUGGUGUAAAAAGCUGGCUGCUACUAUCAGGGCAGAGACUUGGAUCGAAACAGGGCGAACUGGCACAUGGCAACCAAGAGUGAGUAGUUCUGCAUCCACGCAGAGCAGCUUCCAGUGCAUUUUUCUCAGCCUCUUGCCAGUCUGGGUCCAGCUUUGCUGAUUAUGUGGAGGUGGGAACUGGCUUUUACACAGGUAAUCGAGUCCAGACGCUGCUCUCUGCCAUGUGCGAAAGCAGGAGCUUUCUCCAGCCUUUUCAUCAGCAGCUGGCUUUCCUCUUUGAAGUCUCACCUGAUGUGUGUAAAACUAGUUGCAGGAUUAGCCUCCUAAAAUUUGCUUGUCAAUCCCAUGUGUGUCACUGUUCAGCCUGAAAGAGCUGUUGAUGCAGCUUUUCAUACCACUGAAGGGUGCUCGUCAGGAGAGAGCUCCAUGGUUUCUCUCCAGUGAAUAUAUGGUCA